GAAGCCAAGCUUGCUUGGUGGAUCAGUGGCGAACGGGUGAGUAACACGUGAGCAACCUGCCCUGGACUCUGGGAUAAGCGCUGGAAACGGCGUCUAAUACUGGAUAUGAGCUCUCAUCGCAUGGUGGGGGUUGGAAAGAUUUUUCGGUCUGGGAUGGGCUCGCGGCCUAUCAGCUUGUUGGUGAGGUAAUGGCUCACCAAGGCGUCGACGGGUAGCCGGCCUGAGAGGGUGACCGGCCACACUGGGACUGAGACACGGCCCAGACUCCUACGGGAGGCAGCAGUGGGGAAUAUUGCACAAUGGGCGGAAGCCUGAUGCAGCAACGCCGCGUGAGGGAUGACGGCCUUCGGGUUGUAAACCUCUUUUAGCAGGGAAGAAGCGAGAGUGACGGUACCUGCAGAAAAAGCGCCGGCUAACUACGUGCCAGCAGCCGCGGUAAUACGUAGGGCGCAAGCGUUAUCCGGAAUUAUUGGGCGUAAAGAGCUCGUAGGCGGUUUGUCGCGUCUGCUGUGAAAUCCCGAGGCUCAACCUCGGGCCUGCAGUGGGUACGGGCAGACUAGAGUGCGGUAGGGGAGAUUGGAAUUCCUGGUGUAGCGGUGGAAUGCGCAGAUAUCAGGAGGAACACCGAUGGCGAAGGCAGAUCUCUGGGCCGUAACUGACGCUGAGGAGCGAAAGGGUGGGGAGCAAACAGGCUUAGAUACCCUGGUAGUCCACCCCGUAAACGUUGGGAACUAGUUGUGGGGACCAUU
rnacentral:rRNA from 1 species